rnacentral:rRNA from 1 species
CCUACGGGAGGCUGCAGUGGGGAAUAUUGCACAAUGGGGGGAACCCUGAUGCAGCAACGCCGCGUGGGUGAAGAAGUACUUCGGUAUGUAAAGCCCUGUCAGCAGGGAAGAAAAUGACGGUACCUGACCAAGAAGCCCCGGCUAACUACGUGCAAGCAGCCGCGGUAAGACGUAGGCGGCAAGCGUUAUCCGGAUUUACUGGGUGUAAAGGGAGAGUAGACGGCAAAGCAAGUCUGGAGUGAAAGGCCGGGGCUCAACCAAGGGACUGCUUUGGAAACUGUGUUGCUGGAGUGAAGGAGGGGUAAGCGGAAUUCCGAGUGUAGCGGUGAAAUGCGUAGAUAUUAGGAGGAACACCAGUGGCGAAGGCGGCUUACUGGACUGUAACUGACGUUGAGGCUCGAAGGCGUGGGGAGCAAACAGGAUUAGAUACCCCAGUAGUC